UGGGGAAUUUUGCACAAUGGAGGAAACUCUGAUGCAGCGACGCCGCGUGAGUGAUGAAGAUCUUCGGAUUGUAAAACUCUGUCCUUAGUGAAGAUAAUGACAGUAACUAAGAAGCAAGCCCUGGCUAAAUACGUGCCAGCAGCCGCGGUAAUACGUAUGGAGCGAGCGUUGUCCGGAAUUAUUGGGCGUAAAGGGUGCGCAGGCGGCUUUACAAGUUGGAUGUGAAAUAUUGUGGCUCAACCACAAACGUGCAUCCAAAACUGCAAAGCUUGAGUUAAGGAGAGGUAAGUGGAAUUCCUGGUGUAGCAGUGGAAUGCGUAGAUAUCAGGAGGAAUACCGGUGGCGAAGGCGACUUACUGGACUUAAACUGACGCUCAGGCACGAAAGCGUGGGGAGCAAACAGG
rnacentral:rRNA from 1 species